CUGACUUCCUGCCGCGAAUGUGAAGCUACUGCGAAUUCUCGGCUGAAUUCUUCGCAGUAGCUUC
rnacentral:sRNA from 1 species